UACGAAGGGGGCUAGCGUUGCUCGGAAUCACUGGGCGUAAAGGGUGCGUAGGCGGGGCUUUAAGUCAGGGGUGAAAUCCUGGAGCUCAACUCCAGAACUGCCUUUGAUACUGAGGAUCUUGAGUUCGGGAGAGGUGAGUGGAACUGCGAGUGUAGAGGUGAAAGUCGUAGAUAUUCGCAAGAACACCAGUGGCGAAGGCGGCGCACUGGACCACAACUGACGCUGAGGCGCGAAAGCUAGGGGAGCAAACAGG
rnacentral:rRNA from 1 species